rnacentral:misc_RNA from 1 species
AUUACACCACUCAAGCUAUGCUUGGUAUUGGGCGUCCGUCCUUUCGGGGGCGCGCCUUAAAGACCUCGGCGAGGCCUCACCGGCUUUAGGCGUAGUAGAAUUUAUUCGAACGUCUGUCAAAGGAGAGGAACUCUGCCGACUGAAACCUUUUAUUUUUCUAGGUUGACCUCGGAUCAGGUAGGGAUACCCGCUGAACUUAA